rnacentral:rRNA from 1 species
UUUGGGAAGAGCCCGCGUAAGAUUAGCUAGUUGGUGAGGUAAUGGCUCACCAAGGCGACGAUCUUUAACUGGUUUGAGAGGAUGAUCAGUCACACUGGAACUAAGACACGGUCCAGACUCCUACGGGAGGCAGCAGUAAGGAAUUUCCACAAUGGGCGAAAGCCUGAUGGAGCAACGCCGCGUGCAGGAUGAAGGCCCUAGGGUUGUAAACUGCUUUAUAUGUGACGAAUAUGACGGUAGCAUAUGAAUAAGGAUCGGCUAACUCCGUG